rnacentral:rRNA from 1 species
GACGAACGCUGGCGGCGUGCUUAACACAUGCAAGUCGAACGCUGAAGCUUGGUGCUUGCACUGGGUGGAUGAGUGGCGAACGGGUGAGUAAUACGUGAGUAACCUGCCCUUGACUCUGGGAUAAGCCUGGGAAACUGGGUCUAAUACUGGAUACGACAUGUCACCGCAUGGUGGUGUGUGGAAAGGGUUUUGCUGGUUUUGGAUGGGCUCACGGCCUAUCAGCUUGUUGGUGGGGUAUUGGCUCACCAAGGCGACGACGGGUAGCCGGCCUGAGAGGGUGACCGGCCACACUGGGACUGAGACACGGCCCAGACUCCUACGGGAGGCAGCAGUGGGGAAUAUUGCACAAUGGGCGGAAGCCUGAUGCAGCGACGCCGCGUGAGGGAUGACGGCCUUCGGGUUGUAAACCUCUUUCAGCACGGAAGAAGCGAAAGUGACGGUACGUGCAGAAGAAGCGCCGGCUAACUACGUG